AGUCGAAGUGAUUUUCUUAUUACCGCCCCAGUCUGAGAAUUCAUGACUGAUCGGUACUGCUCUGAUCUAAC